UCGACUUGCUGCCUAAAGCUGAUUCGUUCACCCUGUUAAACUCCAUGUGAGUCUUGCAUCAUUUUUUAAAGAAUUCCUGCUGAAGCUGAUGCAUAGUUCACCCCUUGCAUUAUGUUUCUUCCUGUAGCAUCAGGACUUGCAUAGGCUGGAAGAAGUGCAAGUCCCAACAAAUCCCCUGAUGAGACCAAUAAAUAAGUAUCACACACAAGGGUUUCUUUCAAGGACUGUAGGAGCAAACAAUGAGUUACCAACCAAGGUAGUCGAUGAUGGUCUUGCCAUUACUAAAACGACCAGAAGCAAAACCACCAAAAUCCACACCGUAUGGAUUGUAGUUUGCUUUUGCAAGGGAGU